UUGUACGCAAUUUCAUUAAGGGCAUACGGUGAAUGCCUUGACACCAAAAGACGAUGAAGGACGUGGCAGGGUGCGAUAAGUCUCGGGGAGGUCCCAAGCAACCUUUGAUCCGGGAAUUUCCGAAUGGGGAAACCCAUACCGAUUUAAUCGGUAUACUGUACAGUGAAUACAUAGCUGUACGGAGAAAACCUGGCGAAGUGAAACAUCUCAGUAGCCAGAGGAAAAGAAAUUGAAAAGAUUCCCUUAGUAGUGGCGAGCGAAAAGGGAAAAGUCCAAACCGUGUAAAUGUUUCUGUGUCAAAAGAUUGAUCGCAAGAUUGAUUUGGACAUGCAGAUUAAAGAGACAAGUCGUUGUUUAUACGGGGUAAUAAGAUGUAAGUGCCGUUAUUUGUCAGAAUGGGUGGUAAGUUAUCCUUCCUAGUUGAAAGUCCCUGGAAAGGGCUACCGGAGAAGGUGAAAGUCCUGUAACGCGAAAGGAGUUAACUUAACAUAACUUAUAUUCUUGAGUAGGGCGGAACUCGUGAAAUUCCGUCUGAAUUCAGGCCGACUAUGGUCUAAGACUAAAUACUUUUGGUGAUCGAUAGUGGACAAGUACCACGAGGGAAAGGUGAAAAGCAGCCCGGUAAGGGCGAUGAAAUAGUAUCUGAAACCGUAUGCUUACAAAGAGCAGGAGCCCACGACAUCGCAAGAUGUACGGGGUGACUGUGUUCCUAUUGAAGAAUGAGCCUGCGAGUAAUAGUACGCGGCUAGGUUAAGGGCCUAAUGGUCCGGAGCCGUAGCGAAAGCGAGUCUUAACGGGCGCUUUGUCGUGUGCUAUUAACCCGAAACCGGGUGAGCUAUCCAUGAACAGGAUGAGUCCCGCCGAAAGGCGGGAGGAGGUCCGAACCCACGAGCCGUGCAAAACUCGGGGAUGAUUUGUGGAUGGGAGAGAAAUUCUAAUCGAACUCGGUGAUAGCUGGUUUUCCUCGAAAUAGUUCUAGGACUAGCCUCAAGCGUUUUUAGCGGUGGUAGAGCACUGGAUGAGAAUUGGGUCCUUCGGGAUACCGUUUUCAAUCAAACUCCGAAUACCGUCAAGCAUAGCUUGGGAGUCAGACAGUGGGGGCUAAGCUUCAUUGUCAAAAGGGGAACAGCCCAGAUCGCUAGCUAAGGUCCCUAAAUCCAUGUUAAGUGUAAAAGGUGGUGAUAAUUCUUAUACAACCAGGAUGUUGGCUUAGAAGCAGCCAUCAUUUAAAGAUAGCGUAACAGCUCACUGGUCAAGAGUUUUCGCGCCGAAAAUGUACCGGGGCUAAAACAUGGUACCGAAGCUGCGAACUUGUUACGGGGAACUUUUUUUCUGAUCAAUAUUUCGGAAGAAUAGUUCCCCGUAGCAAUUGGUAGAGGAACGUUCGCAAUGCACUGAAGCCGUAGGCGCGAGCCGCGGUGGAGCGUUGCGAAGCGAGAAUGCAGGCAUGAGUAACAAAAAUCCGGAUGAGAAUUCCGGACGCCGAAAAUCCAAGGUUUCCUGGGCAACGAGAAUCGUCCCAGGGUUAGUCGGUCCUAAGGCCAGCCCGUUGCAAGACGGGGUAACUGAUGGAUGAGCGGGUUAAUAUUCCCGCACUGCUUAAGAUUUGGUUAGGGUGCGCACCUUUGAACCCAAUGCGUGUUUUGAAUAUACACGUUGCGCAAGCUCGAGAUGAAGCCUUCGGGUGGAGUCGAGAUUGGGAGACGGGGUGCCCAGAAAAGCCCAAAACCGUUAAGUUUUAAGUAACCGUACCGUAAACCGACACAGGUAGAUAGGUCGAGAAGACCAAGGCGCACGAGAGAACCUUCGCUAAGGAACUAAGCAAUACAGCGGCCGUAACUUCGGGAUAAGGCCCACCUCUCUUCGGAGAGGUUACAACAAAAGACACACUGCGACUGUUUAACAAAAACACAGCUCCCUGCAAAAGCGUAAGCUGAAGUAUAGGGGGUGAUGCCUGGCCAGUGUCAGAACGUUAAAGGGAGGAGUGCAAGCUCCGAACUGAAGCGCUGAUGAACGCCGGCGGUAACUAUAACCGUCCUAAGGUAGCGAAAUUCCUUGUCGGGCGAGUUCCGACCUGCACGAAUGGUAUAACGAUGGUGUGACUGUCUCAGCGAAGGACUCGGUGAAAUUGCAAGGGAGGUGAAGAUGCCUCCUACCCGCAACUAGACGAAAAGACCCCGUGAAGCUUUACUACAACUUGAUAUUGACACAAGGUUAAUUAUGUUGAGAGUAGGUGGGAGCCGCAAGGCGCCAAUGAGACACCACCCUUAAGUAAUUUUGUGCCUAAUUUUCUCCCAUGAAUCUGGGAAAGAAGACAGUGUCUGGUGGGUAGUUUAACUGGGGCGGUUGCCUCCCAAAAAGUAACGGAGGCGUUUACAAAGGUUGGCUUAGGUCGGAUGGAAAUCGACCUGGACGUGCAUACGCAUAAGCCAGCUUUACUGCGAGGGCGACGACCCGAGCAGUCACGAAAGUGGAAGUAAGUGAACCGACCACCUCAUAUAGGAGAGUGGAAGAUCAACGGAUAAAAGCUACUCCGGGGAUAACAGGCUGAUCGCGCCCGAUAGUCCAUAUAGACGGCGCGGUUUGGCACCUCGAUGUCGGCUCAUCGCAUCCUGGGGGUGGAGAAGCUCCCAAGGGUUUGGCUGUUCGCCAAUUAAAGCGGUACGCGAGCUGGGUUCAGAACGUCGUGAGACAGUUCGGUCUCCUAUCUGUUGCGGGCGUUGAAUGUUGAGAAGGCUCUUCCCUAGUACGAGAGGACCGGGAAGGAUAGACCUCUAGUGUGCCAGUUGUCCCAUCAGGGGCAUCGCUGGGUAGCUAUGUCUAGUACGGAUAAAUGCUGAAAGCAUCUAAGCGUGAAGCCGUCUUCAAGAUUAACAUUCGUUAAGACCCCUAGUAGACUACUAGGUUGAUAGGCGUCAGGUGUAAGCAUAGCAAUAUGUUGAGCCGAGACGUACUAAUAAGUCGAGCGUACGACG
rfam:Candidatus Magasanikbacteria bacterium RIFOXYC2_FTLL_42_28 rifoxyc2_full_scaffold_537, whole genome shotgun sequence.